rnacentral:rRNA from 1 species
CCUACGGGAGGCAGCAGUGGGGAAUAUUGCACAAUGGGGGAAACCCUGAUGCAGCGACGCCGCGUGAGUGAAGAAGUAUUUCGGUACGUAAAGCUCUAUCAGCAGGGAAGAAAAUGACGGUACCUGACUAAGAAGCCCCGGCUAACUACGUGCCAGCAGCCGCGGUAAUACGUAGGGGGCAAGCGUUAUCCGGAUUUACUGGGUGUAAAGGGAGCGUAGACGGCAGCGCAAGUCUGGAGUGAAAUCCCAUGGCUUAACCAUGGAACUGCUUUGGAAACUGGGUGUCUUGAGGGCAGGAGAGGAAAGUGGAAUUCCUAGUGUAGCGGUGAAAUGCGUAGAUAUUAGGAGGAACACCAGUGGCGAAGGCGACUUUCUGGACUGUACCUGACGCUGAGGCGCGAAAGCGUGGGUAGCGAACGGGAUUAGAUACCCGAGUAGUC